AAAGUCUUGCAUCUAGUGCUGCUGGUGCCUUUACCUGUGGUGAGGAGCGGCGCUGUCUGUGUGAUGCCAUGGCCACAGCCAAAGUUAAGGUUCUAACUUACCCACCUGCAGGGAUUCUGCUGAGCUGAGUAAGUUAGUAGAGCUGUGUUCAUCGCUCACGCGUAUGACCUCACGCUCUGAUAUAACUCUGUCUUCUCUUCUUCACUGACCCAGUCUGUCACGUUACAUGCUUGUUGAUGAUGCGUGCUGGUCUCGCUGCUGCGGCGUCCACCGUGGUGUCAGUUAUUUCUAUUCUACACAACCACAGAGAGAGGAGACGCGUGUCGCGUAGCUCACGACCCUAGUCUUUGUAAAUCCACAUCUUUCGUUUUGGAAACAUUUACUGCCCUGAAGAUAUUUCUGAUUGUUAGUUAUUCGUUUUGUUUGUUUGUUUGUUUAUCUUUUGGCAAAGCAGUGUUCAAUCUUGUGCAAGGGUCCACCAUGGAUGGUUGUGAUUUCAUAGUUUGAAUUUGAGUUGUUGAUUUCUUUGGUGCUGAAUUGCAAACUUGACUACUAUUUGUCAGUUUUGGUGGUUGAUAAUCAUUUUGGGCCUUCAAAUUUUUCACCUAAGUAGACACAGAUUGUAAAACCUGCAUAGUUUUCAAGUAAUAUGUUUAUACUUUUUAGACAUGCCCUGUAUACAAAAAUUCAUAGUUUUUCUAAUUGUUUAUAUUUAUGUUUAUGCUUUUCUUUUUCUUUUUCUUUUUUCCCCUCUCUAAUCGCCUUAAAUACAGUUUUAAAGAAUUAAUCAUUUUUAGAAUACUGUGAAGUAAGUGUGUUACAUCAAGGCAUCAAUUACCAAGAACCCAUGUAACUAAUUUUAGAUACAAACACAUUUCAGAUUGAGUUCCAA
rnacentral:lncRNA from 1 species